rnacentral:pre_miRNA from 9 species
UCUCGAUAGCGUUUAACUUAACUCAAAUUUGUAUGGAUUUGGAACGUUUGCCUACGUUUGCCGCUAGGGGCGCUAUUCCAACUGCAUACAAAUUCUAGUUAACUUUUACGCUAUCGA